rnacentral:rRNA from 1 species
GACGAACGCUGGCGGCGUGCCUAAUACAUGCAAGUCGAGCGAAGUUUUUCUGGUGCUUGCACUAGAAAAACUUAGCGGCGAACGGGUGAGUAACACGUAAAGAACCUGCCUCAUAGACUGGGACAACUAUUGGAAACGAUAGCUAAUACCGGAUAACAGUAUUUCUCGCAUGAGAGAUAUUUAAAAGUUGGUUAUGCUAACACUAUGAGAUGGCUUUGCGGUGCAUUAGCUAGUUGGUGAGGUAAAGGCCCACCAAGGCGACGAUGCAUAGCCGACCUGAGAGGGUGAUCGGCCACACUGGGACUGAGACACGGCCCAGACUCCUACGGGAGGCAGCAGUAGGGAAUCUUCCGCAAUGGGCGAAAGCCUGACGGAGCAACGCCGCGUGAGUGAAGAAGGAUUUCGGUUCGUAAAGCUCUGUUGUUAGGGAAGAAUGGAUAUGUAGUAACUAUACAUAUAAGAGACGGUACCUAACCAGAAAGUCACGGCUAACUACGUGCCAGCAGCCGCGGUAAUACGUAGGUGGCAAGCGUUGUCCGGAAUUAUUGGGCGUAAAGCGCGCGCAGGUGGUUUAAUAAGUCUGAUGUGAAAGCCCACGGCUCAACCGUGGAGGGUCAUUGGAAACUGAUAAACUUGAGUGCAGGAGAGAAAAGUGGAAUUCCUAGUGUAGCGGUGAAAUGCGUAGAGAUUAGGAGGAACACCAGUGGCGAAGGCGGCUUUUUGGCCUGCAACUGACACUGAGGCGCGAAAGCGUGGGGAGCAAACAGG